UCUAUUUUAUUCAAUAUUUUCAAUAUUCAUCACAUGUUUCUUUCAAAAAAAAAAAAAUCGUUCACAUGUUGAUUUUUCGUACAUGUAGCUUACUGCAGCAUGUAAGAAAACAAAGAAACAAUGGAAGCCCCAACCAAUGAUCCAAGAACAGGCAAGGUAGCGGCAGCCAUGCUGGAAUCCGGUCCUGAUGCUGGAGCGGAACCAGGAGAGGAGCUAGGACUAGAACCACCGGCUGAAGGGGCAGGAGAUGGUGCACCGGCAGCCAUGACGGCGCUCAUUGAGGCGGCAGCAACAAUGAUGGCGGUGGAGACCUUCUUCAUGUCCAUGGCGUAUAAAGUGAUUAUUAAACGCACAGGAAAUGAGAGGGACCUGCGUUUAAUUACCGGUGAAUGGGGAUCCGCCGAUGAUUGUUAUUAUUUGCUUUGUUAUUGCAGGUCUGAAGAACAAUGAUGGUGGGGAGGAUCAUUUAUAGGUGAAAAUUCAUGGCUAUUUUUAGUGACGAAAUUUUUUUAAAAAAAUUACGUGUUCGGUUUUCGCAUGGUUUGCGGGAUAGACAUGCAAUUUUUUUAAAUAUUUUUUUAACGAUUUUGACUGGUUUUUAGAUAAGGAGAUUUUUGAUAAAUUAUAAUAAGAAGGGAAUUUUUUUUUUGGUAACAAGAAAAGGAUUAAAAAAUUAACAAGAAAUAUAUAACGGGAUUCGAACACACAAACAUGCUAUCCAUCCUUACAAGAUGACUGACUAAAGAAGGGGCACUAUGAAAUAUCUGUGUGCCAACCGGUGCUUCCUUCAUCAUAUCAGCCAACGAGUGUGCUAUAGAGUUAACUUCUCUUGGAAUCUAUUUGAAGACAACAUUUAAAUCACAACUUAUUAACUCUCGAAUUAUAAGAACCAAAUCUCUCUGAACACACCCUCUCAAUUCGCCAAUAAUUCCUUUAAAGGCAAGUACACAAUCUAUUUCCACUAAGAUAUCUCGUCAUUGGGCAUCCCAUGCCAUAAUAAGCCCAUUAUAGAUCGCCUAAAGCUCCGCUUGCUCCACACCACACCUACCAAUAUUUCUACUUACUCCAUGAGUCCAAUUGCCAAAUUCAUCUCUCACCACUGCUGCCGAAGCUGCCAAACUCAAUACUGGAUCAUGGGCCCUAUCAGUAUUCAAUUUAAUGGUACCCGUCGGAAGAGGGAUCCAUCGGGUACACCUAGUUUGUCUUCUGGAACAAUCAUCCGGUCUUCCAGCUGUGCACUUAGAGCAUUAACCUAAUUCCAUGAAGAGUGAAAGAUAAAAUCUUUACUGAACGGAACAUCCUGGAACACAUACAAACAUCUAUGUUUCCAAAUCUUCCAACAGAGCAUACCAAACAGAGACCUUCAAUCAAGUUCAUGAAAAACUAAGCCAAAUACAUUCCUCAACUUAACCCUUAGCCAGUCUUUCGCGAGUAAGAGAAGAAACGAUGCAAUAAUCUCGGAGGAAUAACCUGCUCCCAAAUAUCUCUUACCUUACAACAAUCCUUUAAGGAAUGAAUAAUAGAUUCAUUUUUACAUCUGCAAAACUUACAAGAAGAAGAAUCUGACAUACCUCUUCUACAAUGUUCCACAUUAGUUAAUAAGCGUUCCUUGAAAACCAUCCAAAGAAAUUGUCUUACACGUUGUGGCCUUGCAAAAGACCAGACGAUUUUCCAACUAUCUUACGAAGGAUUCAAGGCAUCUUUAUUGAGAAAAUUAUAGGUAGACUUAACUGAUAAACUCCCAUUAAAAUAUCAUUGUGAUAUCAUUGAAUCGGGACCAACUAGGCAAUUAGGAACUGGAAUACCUGCAAUGUAAGAUAAAAUAAUAUCAUCUAAGAAACAUCUUAGGUACUACCGGUUCCAAUCCUCGUCCAUCGACACCAUUCCCCUAAGAGAAAUGGAUUCAUUAAUAAGCGAGAUGUUAUGGCAAAAAUUAAUCAAAGGUCCAACCUUAAUGACCCAAUUAUCGGUCCAAAAUUUGAUACGAUUACAAUCACCCGCAAACCAUGCAACACAUUUGCGCAAAAGUGGCCAAAUCUUUGCAAGUGAUCUCCAAAGAAAGGAACAACAAUUCUUUGUAAUGUCAACCAGGAAAUCAUCAACUAUUUUGUAUUUAGCUCUCAGGAAAAUAACCCAUAAAGCUUUUUUAUUUGUGAGGAAAUUAAACCCCAACUUGAGUAGAAAAGAGUCGUUCUGGACUGUAAACCUCCUGAUACCUAAACCUCCAUUAGAAAGUGGUUGGCAACAAUCAUUCCACCUAACUAAAGAAGGCUGCUGAUUUGUAUUGGAACUCCCCCAAAUAAAACCUUGAGCUAUAUUUUCAAUCUCAUUACAGACAGAAAUAGGAAUCUUAACAGAUUGCAUGAAGUAGUUAGGGAUUGAUAGCAAGACUGAUCGUGCCAAAAUGACUCGACCAACCAUUGAAAGUGGCUUAGCAUCCCAACUAUCCAACUUCCUCCAGAUCUUGUCAAUAACAAAAUGGAAAGUGCUCAUUGUAACUCGUCGAUGAAAUAACGGUACACCCAAAUAAAAAUCCAAAUCAUCAGUCAUGCUAAAUCCCAAUGUACUACAAAUUUAGCAGAAACAUUAACCUCAAUAAUCUUUGAAAAGAAAAUGUUAGUUUUUGGCCCAUUGACUUUAUGCCCCGACGCUGCUCCAAAAAUCCUUAGAACGUUCCGAAUUCUUAUAGCUUGAUUCAUAUAUGUGACACUGGCGGCCCAUUUUUACCAACUGAAAAAGUUUCCACGUCUUAUCCUCAACCUCUUUAUGAGUAAGCUGUCCCAGUCUCUCCAUACAUAGAAUGAAAAUAUAAGGAGAUAAUGGGCAUCCCUGCCGGAUACUUCUCGUUGGUUGGAAUCAGGGAUUCAAAUAACGGAACGUUUUUAGAAUAACGGCGUUAUAUAGCGGUAGCGCCGCCGACCGAAACCGCUAUUGCUGAAAAUAACGGAGGGAAGCGGAUUCACACCGAUAACGGUGGAUAGCGGCCGCAAUUUAACGGAUAACGGACAAUUGCGGCAAUAACGGGCCUCUAUUCCCGUUAUUUUCCGUUUCCGUAAAUUAAAAAAAAAUCAAGUGCUGUAGAUGGACAUGGAUGGUGAUUCUGGUGAAUGAAAUAUUGAAGUGAAUAGUGAAAAGUGAAAAGUGAGAAGAAAGACUGAAUAAUUGUACUUCAUAAUAAAACAAAAGACAAGGGAAUAUAUUCCCUCCCAACCUGCAAUCAAAACAAAGUAAAGUAAAAGACUGAAUCUGAAAGUCGAUUAAAAAAAUCAAAACUCACUCACACAACACAAUACAAGGCAGUACUCAGUAAGUCAGACUCACAAACUCACAUUUCACAGAAUCACAAGCAAACGAAAAGGCAAAAUAUAUUUCUUCAUUCUCCAUAUUUCGGCAAGGCAAAAAACACAGCCACAGGGCACAGGCAGCAAGCAAAGCAAUAGAUCAAGUAAGUAGAGAAAACUAACCCAGUAAAGUACUUGCAUGUCUUGAAUCUGCAACAUAGAGUGAUUUUUUGAUAUUUUUAUCCCUAGAUCUAUAUUCUACACAAAAAAAGGGGGGGUUAAAAUGUUUUCGGCGAUUUCCGACCACCGUGCACGGCGGCGCCGUCGCCGGUGAUCGGCGGCUGCCCCAGUGGCCGAUGGCCGGAUUCUGGGCAACGGCAGAGAAGAAAGAUAAUUGAGAGAAAAAGGCAAAAAAAUUAUUUGAAGAAUCGCUGAAAUGAAGAUUCUGAAAAUUUUUUUCAUUUAAAUAGGCCUUCAAAACGACGCCGUUUUGGGCAGGCCACUCUGGCACCAAAACGACGCCGUUUCGGCCUAACCCGCGCACUUACUCGACCCGUUUACUAGGAUCCGCGUGUUUUUAACAGAAGGGUUAAUUGCGCUUUUAGCCCUUCCUAUUUUUUAUUAUUUACAAUCAAGCUUAUUUCUUUUUUAAUUUUGUCCUAUAAUUUAUUUCGUAUUUCAAUUUGGUCCACCUUGAAGCUGUGCGUUUUGAAGGAUGGGGAUUAUUUCCCAUUUGAUCCAUUUUUGUUAUUUGUGCAUUCAAUUUGGUCCUUUUUCUUUUUAUUUAUUUCGGAUUUGCCGCAAAUUUAUGUUUUAAGUUCGAUUUAGUCCCUUUUUGUUAUUUUUGCUAUUUUAUUAUUAAAUUAAUUAAUUUAAUAUUACUAUUACUAUUAUUAUUUUUCCUUUUUUAUUUUAUUAUUUAUUUACUUGUUAUUAUUACCAUAUUAUUAAAAUUUAAUUAGUUUUGCAUUAUUAUUUCAAUUAUAUUUCUUUUCAUAUUUAUUUACCUAAAUAUUUUAAAUACAUUUAUUUUAUUAUAUCAUUUUAUUUAUCUAUAUAGUAUAUCCUUUCAUAUAAUUUUUAAUUUUAAGAUUUUUAUUAUUGUUAUUAUUAUUAUUAAUACCAUCAUCAUCAUCAUCAUCAUGAUUAUUAUUAUUAUUAUUAUUAUUAUUAUUUAUUACCAUUAUUAUUAUUAUUAAUAAAAUUUUUUACACAAUAUUUAUUUAUUUAUUUCUAUAAUAUUAGGUCUUUACUUUAGCUUUAAAUUUUGUUUACUUUUUUUGGUAUUAUAUUGUUGUUAAUAUAACUAUAUAAGUAAUGAGUUGCUUAUAUUUCUAAAUAUAAUUUUAUGUUUCUUAUAUAAAUAAAAAUAAAGCAUGCCACCACGUGAAGAGUUCCCGACUAAAGGAUUGGAGGGUGCACCAAGUAAUGAUAUAGGUUGGCACUUUGGAACUCUAGUGCCAAAUGCGAGAGGAAGUAUCGUAUGUAAACUUUGUGGUAAAGUUGUGAAAGGAGGAAUAACACGAUUUAAAGAGCACAUUGCUCAUAAAACCGGCAAUGUUGCACCAUGCCCUAAUGUUACUGGUAUGUGAUACUUUAUUAUUAUUAUUAAAUGUUAUUGUAAAUUUAUCAAUAAAGAUUAUAUAUAAUUGAUAAUAAUAUAAAGUGUGAAUUAUUUUUAUUUUAUUAACAGGUGUCAUUAGAGAAAGUAUGAUGAAUGUACUAAAAGAAAGCAACACAAAGAAAAUAGACAAAAAGAGGAGAAAAGAUGAAUUCUUAUCUCAAUUAACAGAAGAGGAGGAUGAGCAUGAGGGAUUCAUUGAUGAGGUUUCUGCUAUAAGGCAAGCAACUCGAGAAAGUAUCCAAUCACAACACGAGUGGUAUAGAAGGGAAGAAUUCAGACGAAGUACUGGUGGUUGGGAUAACAUUUAUGAAGAAGGGCGAUCUUCUCAUGGAUCAGCUAGAGAACAUAAUAGAGAAAGAACAAGUAAAUCUAUUCCAGGUGAGUUUGAGUUUACCUUAAGGGGAGCUAUACCUGAAUUGGUUAGAAGCAAAAGUUCAAAGCAACCAAAGGUCAAUGACUCUUUUUUAAAGAGUUUUCGAAGGAAGAUAGGUGAAGCGGUAUCUAAAUUUAUAAUAUAUGAAAGACUUCCUUUUCAAUUAGCAAGCUCUCCAUGGUUGUAUAACUUAAUUCAAGUGGCAACAGAAGUUGGACAAGGUGUAAAGCUCCCAACACCUUAUGAGGUUUCAGAUGUGUAUUUGGAGUCAGAGUAUCAACGAGUUCAUGAUUGGGUAAAUGUACUAAAGACUCAUUGGAAAGAAUUGGGUGCAACUCUAAUGUGUGAUGGUUGGACCAACAGUUUGAAUCAAAUGCACAUCAUUAAUUUCCUUGUUUAUUGCAGUAAAGGAACCAUUUUUUGGAAAUCGGUAGAUGUCUCAAGUGUCCGUAGUAGAGAUGCUGAAUUCUACUACCGUUUAUUAGAUUCAGUUGUAGAAGAAAUUGGAGAAAAUUACAUUGUCCAAAUAGUGACUGAUAAUGAGGCAGCAAUGAAAGCUGCUGGAAAAAAGUUAAUGUUGAAAAGACAACAUCUAUAUUGGACCUCAUGUGCAGCUCACUGUUUAGAUUUAUGCCUUGAAGAUAUUGGGAAAAAGCCCAGUGUAGCAAAAGUGUUAGAUGAGGCAAAGAAAGUGACUUGCUUUAUAUACAAUCACAUUUGGACUGUUGAUUUGAUGAAGAAGUAUACACAAGGGAAACAAAUACUUCGACCCGCUCUUACUCGAUUUGCAACUCAUUUCAUUCAACUUGAAGAGAUAACAAGACAAAAGCAAGGUUUGAGAGAAAUGUUUAAUUCAAAGGUCAGUAUUUUAUAAUUAGUUAAUAUAAUUACUUAAAUAUAGUAAUCUUUAGUGAUUUUAUUAGUUCCAAAUAAUUUAAAUUAUAUUAUUUUAAAAUUUUUCUUAUGAAUAUAUAGGAAUUUAAAGAAUCAAAAUGGGGAAAGCAAAAGUCAGGGCCUGCUUAUGAAGCCAAAAAUAUUGUUUUGGGAAAAGAUUUUUGGAAAAAAGCCAAUGACCUCAUAAAAGUUUAUGAGCCCUUAGUAAGAGUAUUGAGACUUGUGGAUAGUGAUGAAAAACCAACGAUGGGCUUUAUUUAUGAGGCUAUUGAUAGGGCUAAACGAGCAAUUCAACAAAAUUGUCGAUAUUUCACAGAGUAUGAAAAGAUUAUUGACAAUAGAUGGAAUUUUAUGCAUUCCGACUUGCAUUAAGCUGGUAAGAUAAAAUAUUUCAUAUAAUUAAGAACUAUUUUUAUAUUUUAUUAUUUUAAGCUUUAGAUUAUUAUUAUUUGAUGAUAUUCUUAUAAAUUAUACUUAGGUUAUUUUCUCAACCCUCAAUUUCAAUUUGGGGUGGAGCAUUCUGAGAAUGUAUUAAUAGAAACAUUAGAAGGUACACGAUCAGUAAUUGAAAGAUUAGAACCUUCUAUGGAUACUCAAGUCAGAAUGGUUAAUCAGGUUAGAUUCAACUACUAUUAUUUGUAACUUAGUUAAAUAAUUUGAAAUAGAAUUUUUAUUUUUAUUUUUACUCUAUCUUUUAUUUAUGCAGUUGUUAUUAUUUAGAGAUAAACAUGAGACAUUCGGUACUCCACAAGCACAAAGAGCUUGGAAGCAAAUGAAUCCGGGUAAACAGUUAAUUAAAUUAUUUAAUUUAAUUUAUAUUAUUUAAUUAUAUUGUACAUUUUAAAGUUAUUUUGAAAUUUAAAUAAUAUUAUGCAGCUGAGUGGUGGAUGAUAUAUGGCACAUGUGUUCCCGAAUUACAAAAAUUAGCAAUUAAAGUGCUUAGUCAAACAACUUCAGCAUCAAAUUGCGAACGAAAUUGGAGCACAUUUAGUUAUAUUCACACCAAGGCAAGAAAUAGGUUAAAGUAUAAAAAACUUGAAAAACUAGUGUUUACCUAUUAUAAUAUGAGGCUUAAGAUGAGGCAUCAACAAAGAAUGAGCACUGAUGAUAUAAAUGUUAGUUUUAAUCCUAUCAGCCUUGAUUAUAUCUUUGAAGAUGUUGAUCCACUAUCAGAAUGGCUUCAUGAGAAAGAGAAUCCAUUGUUAGAUGGUGAAAAUGCCGGUGUGUUGCCUGUGGAUACCUCUGAUGAUGAAAUGGAUGUUGAUCAAUCGCAACAACAAAUUUUGUCUCAUUCAAGUUCUAGUUCAACUCCAAGUCAGAGUGGCGAUGGACCCGAUGGUGGUGGUUUAAGUCCAAUUGAUGAGGAUGACGGAUAUAGUGGUGAUAGAGGUGAAAUUAGGUCUUCUAGUCAGUAUGGAGGAGAAUAUGGGGGUGGUACCACUGGUGGACAUUUUCGUGACAGAUCAGAGUUUGAUGGAAAUAUGUUUCCUGAACCUAGGAGAGAUAGAAGUGAACCUAGAGCUCCAUCAAAGGGAAAAGGCAAGAAGCAUACUUCUAUAGGCUCUUCAUCUGGUAGUGGUAGGAGAUCGAGUUCUAGUAACCUUGGGUAUAGUGAUUCAUCUACUAGCACUCAAGGUUUUUAUCCACCAGAACAACCUUCACAUGGUUAUCCACAACCAUAUGGUUAUUAUCCACCAUUUCCUAAUUAUGGUGUGCCAUACCAGCCUCAAAUGUAUCCUCCUCCACCAAUGUAUCACCCACCUCCACCUUUCAUGUAUCCUCCUCCUCAAAUAUAUCCUCCAUAUCAAUUGAAUGAAAACCAAGGUGAAAAUGUUGCUUUUUUUGGAUAUAUUUUUGGACAAAGGCCAAGAGAAUCAAGUCAAGAACGCUCCCAAAGUGAAGGUGAAGGAUUUGAUCUUCCUCGUCAUUCCACUAAUUGGUGAAAACUAAAUCGUGCCACUAUCAUUAUUUGUAAGGUAUGUUUUUUUUAAAGAAAUCCUUUGUUAUUGUUCUUAAUUUUGAUGAUAUUAAAACAUUUAAAAUAAUAUAUAUCUUUAGAUAAAUGAAUGAAGUAUAUUUCAUGAAAAGAUAAUGAAGAAUCGAAGCAUGUUAAAUUAUAUAUGAAAGUAGAAUGAGAUGAGAAUAAGUGGUAGGAAAUAGGAAUAAUUAAUAAGAAUCUAUUCAUUAAUUUAUCUAUUCCUUUUUUCCUUUUGCAGCGUAUUUAUAUCUUCACUAUCUUCAAAGCUGUCAAGAAAUAUUGAAGACAUCUCUCAUGUAUGAAUUCUCAAUUCUUUUAUUUAUAAAAACUUUUAAACUUAUUAAAUAUGAUAAAUGUUUAAUAUUUCUUUUUUUUUACUUUGUUAUUAGUUAAUAUAACAUUCUUAGAAAAUUCGUAAAUAAAUAUAAGAAUAAUUAAUGAUUAUAAAAGUUGUGUUCUCAUGUCAUAUUAAUAAAGGUUCAUAAGUGUUAGAAAACACUCUAAAAAUCAUUAAAAGUGACUUUUUAUAAUUAUAAUUAUAAUUACUAUGUUUUACAGUAAGUUGUGCGAAUUUGAAAAAAAUUCACGACCGCGAUACCCGCAGUGACCGCAAUAGCGUCCAUUAUGUCCACGACCGCGACAAACGCGACGCGACCGAAAACACGACCGCGACCGCAAUUUAAAUCCCUGGUUGGAAUUCCUCCGUAGUAUUACCAUUCCACAUGAUCUGCAUAGACACAGUAGAAACACAGUUCAUAAUAACAUUUGAUAAGGACGAAGGAAUACCUGUAUCCAAUAAAGUGUUUGCAAUAAAGUCCCACCGAAUCCUGUCAUAGGCUUUCUCGAAAUCCACCUUAAUAGCCAUCCAACUCUUCUUGCCUUUCUUAGUUCGUAUAGAGUGAACUAUCUCUUGGGCAAUGAUAAUGUUGUCAGUUAUCUAUCUUCCUGCAACAAAACUUACUUGAUUCUGAGCAAUGAGAAGAGGGAAAACAAGUUUGAAUCAAUUGGCUAUUACCUUUGUUACAAUCUUAUACUAGACAUUACAGAGGCUAAUUGGCCGGUAUUGGGAUAAGGACUCCGGAUUAUAAGUUUUCGGAAUAAGGACCAACAAUGUCUUGUCUAUCGAAUGAUCGAGAGGAGACCCUGAGAACUCACUUCGAACCCAACUGCAAACAUAAAAACCAACAAUACUCCAUUGACUCUAAUAGAAUAACGCAUGAAGCUUAUUCGGUCCCGAGGCAUUCAAGGGACCCAUGCUAAAAAGAGCAUUGCAAAUUUCCUCAUCUGACACAUCCAUAGUCAAUGAAUCAAUAGAAUUUUGCACCAACUUUGAAAACCGACCCCGCAACGGAAACAAGAAAUGAGCUUGAUCAUCCAACGAGUAAAGAGAUGAAGAAUAACGAAUUGCUUCCUCCUACAAGAUCACAUCAUCAUAACACCAAGAGUCUCCCACUUUCAAAGUUAAAAUCUUAUUGAAAUUACGCAUUCGGAUCGUUUUAUUAUGGAAAUAUUUAGUGUUGCGAUCACCAAACUAGGCCUAAUCCACUCUCGACUUUUGUCUCCUUAGGCUUUCUUCUUCAUCCAAGACCGUUUCAUACUCAAUCCACAAGUCGUGUUCCCGAUUCAAAAAGAAAAUAGAAGACCUCCUAUCUGGAGCAGCUUGAACCUUAGCAAUACGAUUAGCUAGAAGCCUUUUCCUAUGACCAAUGUGACCAUAAAUCUCAAAGUUCCACUUUCUGAAAACCUCCAUCAAAGAGGCAAGAUUGUGUGCAAUAUUUGGCCCAAACCUCCAUUUUUCUCGAACAAGUUGAUCAAAAUUCGGAUUAUUAAUCCAAGAAGCCAAGAAAUGGAAUGGCCUUACACAACGAACAGAACUAGGAUUAGUCAUAGAAAUGGGAAUAGGCCUAUGAUCUGACUUCAGCCGUGGAAGGUGAAACACCAAGGCAUCAGAAAAGGUAUGACACCACUCACCAUUACCAAUGGCUCGAUCCAAUCGAAUAUGUUUUAAUAUUGAAUGAUAAUGAAUUUUUAUUUAAAUUUAAUUAAAUUAUUUGAAUAUGUUUUAUUUUUUUCAUUAUUAUUUUUAAAAUUGUAAAAUUUGAUUUAGACGGAUAUGAUUUUUUUUUUACGAAACGGGUUGUGAGGUGGAAUUAAUGUGUAUUAAUUCCAUAGAUUUUAUAUUUAUUUAUUUUGAAUGGAUAUUUUUUAAUUAAAACCUAAAGUAAAGUGAGACGAUUCUAAUCAUUUAUAUGUAAAUAUUAUAUAAUAAGAUGUACUUAAAAAAUAUUAUGUACUAUGAUAAAUGUAGAUUUAUUCAUGGAUCGGACUAUUCGGCCCGGUCUAAAGGGCCACCUAAAAAUUGGAAAGAUUUGGAUAAAAAUAUAAAUUCAAAAAAUGGGCUUAGUAAAAAUAUAUAUAUAUUGUAGAAGCCCAAAUUUGCCCGGGCCCUAACAGCAAAACAAAUUUCAGCCCAAAUGGCCCAGUUACAUUAUAAAAUUAAUUGGACCAGCCCAAACACCAACCCACAAGCCCAAUUACAACCCAAACCCGAGGCCCAAAUCUGGAGCCCAAUUCCCCCCAAAAACCCAACUAGGGUUUCAGAAAAAUGAAACCCUAGCCAAACCUAGCGCCGCAUCCAUCCCUCUGUCGUUCGCCUUGUCCCAUCGCCACCUACCGUGCCUAGCUUCAUCAACACCUGCAAAAUGGCAGAAAAAGCCGGAGCACGCAACAGAUAGUGCAAAAACAAUAGAAUACAACCAGAAAAAAAUACAAUGUAAAUUGGCUAUAAAAGCCAAACAAUAUCUCUGUACAAGGUUUUUUUUUUAGACAGCGUUUUUGAAUCCAAAAAAAAAAGAAAAACAGAUCAAAAGGUUGACUCCAAUUUAUUCUUCUCUGUUCUUGUUUCUUAUUUACUUUACUCUUUAUUUAUUGUUUAUUUUUUUCGCAUUCGUUCAACAAAGAAAAAGGAAUUGAAAGGGAGAGGAGAAAAUACCUUACCGCUUCGACGGGCUGGUGUCGGAACCCCACCCUUGCCGUCGUCGGAUUCGAGCCGAAAGGGGCGUCUCAUCCCUUUUCCUUUUGGUCUUGCGGUUGAGAAGGCUUAGCCUUCGGGGACGCCGCAAAAAUGGGAGGCUUAGGGGCCUUUCUCGCGCAACUCCGGCCAUUGGCCAUGGAGGCGGAGAUGGCGGCCUGAGCUUAAAGGGCCGAGAGAGAUGUAGGGAGGAGAGCACUCGGGCUCUCAGUUUUCCUUUUUUUUUGUUUUUUUUUUAUUUUUUGAUUGUUUAGAAAAUGAAAUGGAGGCUGCCAGAUUAGGGUUCUUUUUGGCCCUUGCUUGAUGUGUGAAACGACGCCGUUUGGAGUCUGAUCAGUGGCUCCAAAACGGCGUCGUAUUGAGCUCUGACCCGCGCGGUGACCCGACCUAGGGGAAGGAUCCGCGUGUUUUCUUUAAAUGGGAUAUUUGCGCGCGUAGUCCCUCCGACUUUGUAGCGCGUUGCAAUCUGGUCCUAUUUCGCUAUUUCCUAUUUUUCAAUGUAGCCCCAGAAUUCUAUUUUUGUUCUAAUUUGACCCUCUACUGCACUGUGUUUUGGGGCUUCGGGGUAUUUACCAUUUUGGUCCCCCUUUUUUUGCGCAUAUUACAUUUUGAUCCUUUAUUCUGUUUUAUUUUUUAUUUCAGCCCUGAGAUUUCGUUCACGUUUUGAAUUAGUCCUAUUAUUAUUAUUACUAUUAUUAUUAUUACCUAUUUAUUUAUAUUGAUUUUAUUUAAACUUCUGGUACAUAUAUAUAUAUUUAUAUAUUUUACAACUUAUGUACCUAUAUAUAUAUCUAUAUACAUAUUUUCAUUUUCAUAAAUACAUACAUAUUUAUAUAUAAUCUUUAUAGUCUAAAAUACACCUUUUUUAUAUUUUUUUUAAAUCCGCAUAUACAUACACAUUUUCAAUAUAUGUUUAGUAUGUAUAUAAAUUAACGUAUUUAUUUGUAUACAUAUGUAUAUUUUCAUUAGUUUUAAACUUUAGUUUGUACAUAUAUACUUUUUCUUUUAUUUUACAAUAUAUAUACACUUACUUUUUAUAUGUAUUCCUUUAUCUUCGUAUUCCAUAGUUUUAUACACCUAUAUGUACAUAUUUUUAUAUAUACGCAUAUUUAUUUAUCUUAUAUAAAAUAUACCUUAUAUGUUUUGUUAAUUCACGUAUACACAUAUUUUUGUUCAUGUCUAUAUAUAUCUUUUUAUACUUAAUUGUAUUUGCUAUUUAUUUAUUUCAUUUUUGUUAUUAUUUUGAAUGAAUGAUUUAACUUUAUUCGUUCUUUAUUUUGUUAUUUUGUAUGUUGUAAGCUUGAUCGUUCAUAUUGAUUGCUAUAGCUUGCAUCGUUUUUAUAUUUUCAUGUUCAUUAUGAUUUUGCCAUGCAUAAAUAAUGUAAUUUGCUUUCACUAUAAUUUUGUGCUUUAUUUUUACUCGAUAUAACAAAAUUUAUUUUUUUUUAAAAUGGCAUUUCGUGUUUGGAUUCGAGAAAAUCGUGCCCUAACUUACUGGGUUUCGAUUUUCUCGAUAAAUCUAAAUGUACGAAUCUUUUUAAACUCAAAUUUUAGAUGACCUCGGGAUUAAAAAAUCACGUCCUAACUUACUGGUCGUGAUCUCAUUUUUAAAUCCGAGAUGGCUAAAAUAUCUUUUAAAUAAGCAUUUUUCAUUCGCGUAUCGAGAAUUUGAGAUAUUGUAUUCUAACUUACUGGAUAUGAUUCUCUUUCUCGAUUAACGUGAAAUAUAUUUCUUUUUCCAAAAAAUUUCAUUUUAAUACAAGGAUCGUAUUUUUAAUUCUUUCAAGUUCUCAAUUUUCGACAUCAAGACAUUAGAUAAUCAACUAGGUACCAAUUUCUGGGCGUUACGAGGGUGCUAAUCCUUCCUCGUACGUAACCGACUCCCGAACCCGUUUUCUAAAUUUCGUAGACCAAAACCGUUGUUUUAAUAAAAUCAAAUUAUUUAUUAAAAACAACCUUUUUCCAAGGUGACCCAAUCACACCUCAAAAAGGAUUGGUGGCGACUCCCUUUUUUAUUUUCAAAACCCAAGUCGACCCCGUUUUUCAAUCAAAAAAAUGGUGUCAACAUAUAUAUAUACGUUCUUAUGCAUUGGCAACAAUGUCUAUGACAAUUGAGCUAAGACUCAACCGACUAAUUCCAUAAAUUUUAUAUUUAUUAAUUUUGAAUAGAUAAUUUUCUAAACUAAAACCGUAAUGCUAAAGUAAAGCGAGAUGAUUCUGAUAAUUUAUAUGUAAAUAUUAUAGUUACAUGCAAAUAUUAUAUAAUAAGAUGUACUAAAAAAUAUUAUAUACCAUGAUAAAUGGUCGGUAAGUUGGAGAUGAAUAUAAGACUAUAAAGGUAAAAUUGUUAGUUAAGCUCCUAUACAUAGGGGAAGAUUGCAUUUCAACCCUUUUAUUGAAAAAAUGAGCAAACUAGUCUUUAUAUAUUUCGAAACAUACAAAUUAGCUUAUCCGUUUCUUUUUGUAUCAAGACUUAAUCAUAGACUGGGUCAUUCGGUCCAACUCAAAGGCAUGUCCAAAAAGUUCAGACUCUUCAGAAUUAAUAAAAGCACAAGUUAGAUAUAUGAUAAAGUUAUAAUUUAACCCCAAAAUUGUUAAAACUUCAAUUUAAUCAUUUUAAAUACCAUAAAAUAUAAUUAAAUAAGUAUUUUAACUCUCAUAAAAAAAAUUUUUAAUCUCGCCGUGCAUUUAUCUAAUUACAUACUAGUUAUUAGUUUGUUAUUUUCAUCUUAUUCAUUGCUAUUAGUUGAAUAAAUCGAAAAGUAAACGCAUAAACACAAAAUAUUAUUCAAAGCUCCAUUUUAUUCAAAUUUUUUCAGUAUUCAUCACAUGUUUCUUUCAAAAAGAAUAAAAUAAAACAUUCGUUCACAUGUUCAUUUUUCAUAUAUGUAGCUUAUUGUAGCAUGUAAGAAAACAAAGAAACAAUGGAGGCCCCAACCAAUGAUCCAAGAACAGGCAAGGUUGUGGCAGCCAUGCUGGAAUCCGGUCCUGAUGCUGGAGCGGAACCAGGAGAGGAGCUAGGACUAGAACCACCGGCUGAAGGGGCAGGAGAUGGAGCACCGGCAGCCAUGACGGCGCUCAUUGAGGCGGCAGCAACAAUGAUGGCGGUGGAGACCUUCUUCAUGUCCAUGGCGUAUAAAGUGAUUAUUAAACGCACUGGAAAUGAAUGAGACCUGCGUUUAAUUACAGGGAUCCGCCGGUGAUUGUUAUUAUUUGCUUUGUUAUAUCAGGUCUGAAGAACAAUGAUGGUGGGGAGGAUCUUUUAUAGGUGAAAAUUCAUGGCUAUUUUUAGUGGCGAAAUUUUUUUUUUAAAUUACGUGUUUGGUUCUCGCAUGGUUUGCGGGAUAGACAUGCAAAUUUUUUAAAUAUUUUUUAAACGAUUUUGACUGGAUUUUUUAGAUAGGGGGAUUUUAAUAUUUUUUUAAGAGAAAGAGAGUAGUAAAUUAACUGUAAUUACAUCAACAUCAUCUUGCAAAUUAUUUAGAAUGGAAGUAUCAAUUGUUGGGGAGAAAAAACAAAUUAAUGGAGACCCAAUUAUAGUCAAAUAUCAUUUCAGCUAAAGCAUUAGUCACUCCAUUAGAUUUCCUUAAAUAUGCUUGAUGUGAACCGCGCAAAGCUCUUUUAUUCUGCAUACUAGUUCCCUUUUCACUCACCAUUAAUUGCUUGAACUAUAGUUAAACAAUCACAUUCUAAAACAAUCAAUUUCCACCCUUUAGACCAAAGCAAUUUAAGUCCACCAUAGAUUGGCCAAGGUUCUGCUUGUUAAACACUACAUUUUCCAAUAUUAUGAUCAUAGCCAAAUAUCCAUCUACCAUGGUUGUCUCUAGCAAACUCAGCUGAGCAGGCAAGUUUGGUAUAAAGUUUCCCUACACCGUCUGUGUUCAUUUUGACGCAAUCAAUUAUUGGUUGCUGCCAGGUGUUUGGUUUGAUUCAAUUUUUAACCUUAAUCAUUGGUUCCCUAUUAUGUUUAACAUUCACAACCCAACUCCAAGCCGAUCUUACAAGCAUACUAGAAUUAUGAGGAACAUUUUCAAAAACAAAAGAAAUAUUCCUUUGUUUCCAUACAAACUAGCAUAGUAUACCUAACAGGUGAUUCAAUUAAAAUCUUUGAAAUGUAAAUUUAGUUUAUUAGAAAGGUUGAAAUUCACCCAAGAUAAAAGUGACGGACAUAAGAACUUGGAGUAAAAUGAAUUCGGAAUGAACUACAUCCAUACUUCCUCAGCUUUGGAACAAUCAUUAAGUAUAUGAAAAAAAUUUAUUCUACAAAUCCAAAAAUGCAGCAACUGGCGUCAUCCGUCAAUCCGCGUCUUUCCAUACUAAUAUAUUUUAAUAGUAAAAUAGACCACAAAAUUAACUUGAGUCAAUUUGAAGUUUUUUUAAAAAUUCAGAAAAUACAAUUAUAAAACAAUUAUAAAUAUAUGUCCAAUCAAUUAUAGUAUAGAAUUCAAUUAAUUACAACUAUAAAAUAAAUACAAAUAUAUUUAAACACCCUUUUGUCUUCAUUCCUAUCUUCACCCUCUUUAGUGGUAGGAGGCAAAAGGAGGGGGUUGAUAAGGGCUUUACACCCUCUCUUAAAUGGGUUUAGACUCUCCAAAAUUCAUAAAAACAUAAGUUAAAUAUAAGGUAAACUGUAAAAAUAAUCACUUUUGUUUGUAUUAGAUUAUAUUUUAGUCAUUUAUAUUUGAAAUGUUACGUUUUAGUCAUUUACAUUAUCAUUUUGUUACGAAGUAGUGACUCUGCCGUUCAGCUCCGUUACCUCCCUAAAGACAAUCCUAUGUGGGAUAGUCACUUUUGUUUGUCUUAUAAUACAUUUUAGUCACUUCUAUUUGAAAUGUUAUGUUUUAGUCACUUGUAUUAUCGUUUUGUUACGAAGUAGUCACCGUGUCAUUCAUCUCCGUUACCUUCCUAACAACAAUCCUAGAUGGCAGUCUAAAUUGGUUUUAAAUGCCAACUUGGAUGUCCAACUGGGAUGAGAAUAGUUUUUGUUAAGACGAACGGUUUUUGUUUUCCAAUUCAAGGUGUAAUUAAUUUAAAAUUUACAAUUAAUUAAAUUUAGUUAAUUAAAAACCUAUUCUCGUACCAAUUAGGCAUCCAAGUUGACAUUUAAAAUCGAUUUGGACUACCACUUAGGAUUGCCGUUAGAGUGACCACUUUCUAACAAACGAUAACGUAACAUUUCAAAUAUAAGUGACUAAAAUGUAACCUAAGGCAAAUAAAAGUGACUAUUUUUAUAAUUUACCCAGUCUAAAUUGGUUUUAAAUGCCAACUUGGAUGUCCAACUGGGAUGAGAAUAGUUUUUGUUAAGACGAACGGUUUUUGUUUUCCAAUUCAAGGUGUAAUUAAUUUAAAAUUUACAAUUAAUUAAAUUUAGUUAAUUAAAAACCUAUUCUCGUACCAAUUAGGCAUCCAAGUUGGCAUUUAAAAUCGAUUUGGACUACCACUUAGGAUUGCCGUUAGAGUGACCACUUUCUAACAAACGAUAACGUAACAUUUCAAAUAUAAGUGACUAAAAUGUAACCUAAGGCAAAUAAAAGUGACUAUUUUUAUAAUUUACCCUUAAAUAUAUGAUAAAUUAUAAGUUAACCCCAAAAUUGCUAAGUUUUCAAUUUAAUCAUUUUAAAUACCAUAAAAUAUAAUUAAAUACGUAUUUUAACUCUAAUAAAAUAUAUACUUUAACCUUUAUUUCCCUAAAAAAAAAAUUUCCAACUUCCCCCUGCAUUUAUCUAUUUACAUACCAUUUAUUAGUUCAAUAAUUCAUUGUUAUUUUCAUGUUAUUAGUUGAAUAAAUCGAAAAGUAAAAGCAUAAAAACAAAAUACUUUUCAAAGCUCCAUUUCAAUUUUUUCAAUAUUCAUCACAUGUUUCUUACAAAAAAUAAUAAAUAAAAUAAAAUAUUCGUUCACAUGUUCAUUUUUGAUACAUGUAGCUUACUGCAGCAUGUAAGAAAACAAAGAAACAAUGGAAGCCCCAACCAAUGAUCCAAGAACAGGCAAGGUUGCGGCAGCCACGCUGGAAUCUGGUGCUGAUGCUGUGACGGAAGCAGGAGAGGAGCUAGGACUAGAACCACCGGCGGAAGGGGAAGGAGCAGGUGCACCGGCAGCCAUGACGGCGCUCAUUGAGGCAGCAGCAACAAUGAUGGCGGUGGAGACCUUCUUCAUGUCCAUGGCGUAUAAAGGGAUUAUUAAACGCACCGGAAAUGAACGAGACCUGCGUUUAAUUGCUGGAGAAUGGGGAUCCGCCGGUGAUUGUUAUUAUUUGCUUUGUUAUUGCAGGUCUGAAGAAGAAUGGUGUUGGGGAGGAUUAUUUAUAGGUGAAAAUUCAUGGCUAUUUUUAGUGACGAAAUUUUAAAAAAAAAAUUUACGUGUUUGGUUUUUGCAUGGUUUGCGGGAUAGACAUGCAAAUUUUUGAAUUUGUUUUAGCGAUUUUGACUGGAUUUUAUGGUUAGGGGAUUUUAUUAUUAUUAUUUUUUGGUAAGAGAAAGAGGAGUAGUAAAUUACAGAAUAAUAAUUACCUCAAUCAAUAUCAUUUUGUAAAUUAUUCAGAAUGGAAAUAUCUAUUUGUUGAGGGAUAAAGAUCAAUAAAUUCAUGUUGAUCCAAUUGAUAGUUAAACAUCAUUAUCAAUACAGGAGGAUGUGAGUUCGAGCGGGUUUAUCCUUCUAUUGAAAAGCUUGGAUGAGUUAUGGGUAGUUCUAAGCAUUGUAUCAACUUAUACUUUCACGGUUGAAUUAGAUUAUAAAAAAAAGGUACUAAGUAAGCUCCUGUAUUUAGGGUGUAUUGCAUUUCAGCCCUUUUACUAAAAUAGUGGCUAAAUUAGCCUUUAUGUAUUUCGAAACGUACAAAUUGGAUCAUCCUUUAAAUUUUAUCUAUUAAAUGAUGAUGUGGAACGUUAAAUCUAUGCUGAAAAUUAUUUUUUUAUAGGUAAACUAUAAAAAUGAUCCGUUAACUAUGUCUUUCGUUGUAUUCUAUUUUGGUCACCCACUUAUUAUUUUUUGUUUUGUUCAUAUCAAAUUAAUUAAUUUUUUAUUUCUUGAUUCAACCUAAAACUAUAUGGUUCUACAUUUUAAAAACAUUGAUUAAUAAUGACUAAGAAUUUUUCAUAAAUAAGACAUAUAAAAUAAAUUUUUGAAAAUUUUAUAUUUACAAAGAUGAAAAUCAAUCAAAACAUAGGAAAAAAAAACCCAAUUUCUUGUUUAAAAAAUCCAAUAAAAAUUUUAAAUAUAUAUUUAGAGAAAUAUGUUUUUAUUUAAUUUUAAAUAAUUUUUUUACAGCUUUUGUCUUGUUAGCUAUUAUUAAAUAAUCGAAUCAAUUUACUAUUUAAUCAAUUCAACCAACCAAUCUAAUGAAAUUUGAAGAAUUUGGUUUCUCAAGGUGGAUAUACACUUCAGUUCAAUUACUAUUUAUCAAUUGGGUCCUUAUUGGCUAAAAAUGAAUUUCUUUUAUACAAACAUAUAUUUAAAUUUUUAGAGGUAGGACUAAAUUGAUAGAUUUUAUAAAUAUUGAGGGUCAAAUUUAUUAUUUUUUUAAAAUUAUAAUUAAAAAAAUAAAUUUUGUAAACAUUGAGGACUAAAUUUGUUUAAUUUUUAUAUUUAAGAUCAAAUCGAUAGAAUGUAUAAAUAUUAGAGAGCUAAUUUUAUUACUAGACCAAUAAAAUAAGCCCACAUUUAUCUGAUUACAUACUAAUUAGUUCAAUAAUUCAUUGUUAUUUUCAUGUUAUUCAUUGUUUUGAAUAAAUGGAAAAGUAAAAGCAUAAACACAACAUACUUUCCAAAGCUCCAUUUCAAUUUUUUUCAUUAUUCAUCACAUGUUUCUUUCAAACAAUAAAAAAUAUAAUAUAAAAUAUAAUAUUCGUUCACAUGUUGAUUUUUCAUACAUGUAGCAUGUAAGAAAACAAAGAAACAAUGGAAGCCCCAACCAAUGAUCCAAGAACUGGCAAGGCUGUGGCAGCCACGCUGGAGUCUGGUCCUGAUGCUGGGGCAGAACCGGGAGAGGAGCUAGGAAUAGAACCACCGGCGGAAGGGGAGGGAGCAGGUGCAUCGGCAGCCAUGACGGCGCUAAUUGAGGCGGCAGCAACAAUGAUGGCGGUGGAGACCUUCUUCAUGUCCAUGGCGUAUAAAGGGAUUAAUAUUAAACGCACCAGAAAUGAACGAGACCUGCGUUUAAUUGCUGGAGAAUGGGGAUCCGCCGGUGAUUGUUAUUAUUUGCUUUGUUAUUGCAGGUCUGAAGAACAAUGAUGUUGGGGAGGAUCUUUUAUAGGUGAAAAUUCAUGGCUAUUUUUAGUGAUGAAUUUUUUUUUUAAAAUUACGUGUUUGGUUUUUGCAUGAUUUGCGGGAUAGACAUGCAAAUUUUUUAAUAUUUUUUAACGAUUUUUAGAUAAUGAGAUUUUAAAUUUUAAGAUUAAAUGAUAAUGAAUUUUUAUUUAAAUUUAAUUAAAUUAUUUGAAUAUGUUUUUUUCAUUAUUAUUUUUAAAAUUAUAAAUUUGAUUUCGACGGAUAUGAUUCUUUUACGAAACCUUAAUGGUAAAGUAAAGUGAGAGAUUCUAAAAAUUUAUAUGUAAAUAAUAUAUAAUAAGAUGUACAAUGAUAAAUGGUUGGAUGGUAAGUUUUUAUUGGGAUGAAUAUAAGACUAUGAAGGUAAAAUUAUUAGUUUAAGUUUCCGUAUUUGGGGAAGAUUGCAUUUUGGUCUUUUUAUUAAAAAAUGAGUAUAUUAGUCUUUAUAUAUUUCGAAAUGUACAAAUUAGCUCAUUAUGUUGAAAAUUAUCUUUUACGGGUAUAUAAAAAUUGUCACCCAAUCAUGUCUAUUGUUCUAUUUUGGUUACCCAACUAAAAAUUCAUUUGGAUUUAAGUUUACCUUGAACGUGGCACGAUUUGGCACUUUAUUGCCCAAUCAUGCUCAACUCAAUCACUUGGAUGCAUAAAUGGGAUUCAACUUCAUUGCACAGAGGCUUUACUUUUUCAUUGGAGGAUUACAACCCCACCAACUUUUUCUUUCCUUUUGUAUCUAAACCUAAUUAUGGGUCGAGUCACCUGGCUCGAAGACCCACUCGAAAAGUGAAAGGAUUUGUGCAAAAAUAUAGGCUCGAAAAAUGAGUUUAGGCAAAAAAAAAUAGGCCUGAUUUCUAAACGAGUCAGGCAUUGGGUAAACUUUUUUUGGCCUGGUCGAAUUUGUAAAAAAAACCUACUGCUUUUUGCUGCUAUUUUCACUGUUUUUGUUGUUGUUUUGCCACUAUUUUUGUGGCGUUUUGCUAUUAUAUUGCUAUUAUUUUGUUGUUAUUAAUUGAAUAUUGUAUAACUCUUAUUUUAUUGUAUUUGAUGUAUUAUUCUUUUUGAAUUUAUUUUUAUAUAAAAAUAAUAAUAUAAAAAAUUUUAAUACAGACAGCCCGCGCCAGACUCGGGUUUUAGCAUUUUUAUUCAGGUCAAAUUUGGGCAAAAUUUGCCCAGUUUUCAGGUCGGGUUGAAUCCAAGCACAUACUCAAUUGUUAUUUUUAACCUCAUCGGAACUAAACAAACUAAACCUUGUCAGAUACAUAAAUCAUACAGGGUUAGCAAGGCCUCGGCCUCCCCUAAAAUGAAAACUUUUUUAUUUAGGCCCCUUUGUAAUUUAUAAAAUUUUAAAUUAACAAUAAUAAAAUAGUGAAAUUACAGUUUUACUAUCAUAAAAAUAUAAAACAAUUUUAUUUGUUGGUCUAAAAUUUUAUACAUAUUAGAAUUACAAAAGGAUGAAAUUGUUACAUGCUGGUUAUUAGUUCAAUAAUUUAAUGUUAUUUUCAUGUUUAAAACUUAAAAAGUUAAUUCAACUACUUUAAUUUAUCGUAAUUUUAAUUUCGGAAAUCAAAACGUAAAACAUAAACACAAAAUAUUAUUCAAAGCUCCAUUUUAUUCAAUUUUAUUCAAUAUUCAUCACAUGUUUCUUUCAAAAAAAAAUAAAAUAAUAUAUUCGUUGACAUGUUCAGUUUUGAUACAUGUAGCUUACUGCAGCAUGUAAGAAAACAAAGAAACAAUGGAAGCCCCAACCAAUGAUCCAAGAACUGGCAAGGCUGCGGCAGCCACGCUGGAAUCCGGUCCUGAUGCUGGGGUGGAACCAGGAGAGGAGCUAGGACUCGAACCACCGGCGGAAGGGGCAGGAGAUGGUGCACCAGCGGCCAUGACGGCGCUCAUUGAGGCAGCGGCAACAAUGAUGGCGGUGGAGAUCUUCUUCAUGUCCAUGGCGUUAUAAAAAAGGGAUUAUUAAACGCACCGGAAAUGAAUGAGACCUGCGUUUAAUUACUAGAGAAUGGGGAUCCGCCGGUGAUUGUUAUUAUUUGCUCUGUUAUUGCAGGUCUGAAGAAGAAUGAUGUUGGGGAGGAUCAUUUAUGGUGAAAAUUCAUGGCUAUUUUUAGUGACGAAAUUAAAAAAAAAGAAAAAAAGAAAUACGUGUUUGGUUUUCGCAUGGUUUGCGGGAUAGACAUGCAAAAUUUUGAAUUUUCUUUAACGAUUUUGACUGGAUUUUUAGGCUAGGGAAUUUAAUUUUUUAAGAGAGAAGAGUACUAAAUUAGAGAAAAAUAAUUAAAUCAAUAUCAUCUUGUAAAUUAUUCAGAAUGGAAGUAUCAAUUUGUUGGGGAGAAGAAGUAAAUUCAUGGAGACUCAAUUGAUAGUCAAACAUCAUACCAACUAAGGCAUUAGUCGCUCCAUUAGAUUCCUUAUAAAUAUGCUCGAUUCAAACACCUAUGUUCGAGCGUAAAGCUCUUUUAUUCUGCAUACCAGUGCCUUGUUCAAUACGCCUUUAUAUUCAUCAUUGAUUGCUUGAAUUGCAAUUAAACAAUCACAUUCCAAAACAACAAGUUUUCACCCUUCAAACCAAAUCAGUUUAAGUCCACUAUAGAUUGCCCAAAGUUCUGCUUGUUCAAUACUACAUUUCUCAAUAUUGUGACCGUAGCCAAAUAUCCAUCUGCCAUGGUUGUCUCUAACAAUCCCAACUGAGCAGGCAAGUCCAGUAUGAGGUUUCCUUACACCGUCUGUGUUCAUUUUGACACAACUAGCUAUUAGUGAGUGCCAGGUGCUUGGUCUGAUUCGGUUUUUAACCUUAAUCUUUGGUUCCCUAUUAUGUUUAACAUUCACAACCCAACUCCAAGCCAAUCCUACAACCAUACCAGAAUUACGAGGAACAUUUUCAAAAACAAAAGAAUUCCUUUGUUUCCAUACAAACCGACAUAGGAUACCGAAUAGGGUGUUCCAAUUAACAUCUUUGAAUUGUAAAUUCGGUUCAUUAGAAAGAUUGACAUUCACUCAAGAUAAAAGUGACGGAGAUAAGAACCUGGAGUAGAAUGAAUCCAGAAUGAACUGCUUCCAUACUUCUUGAGCUUAGAAUAUUUUCUUCUGCAGAUCCAAAAUGCAGCAACUAGUGUCAUCCGUCAGUCUGCGUCUGCAUCUUUCCACGUUUGAGAGGAGUCGCUUGUUGUUCCAAUAGGGUCGGAAGCGUGUAAAUUAUUGUACUAAAAAAUCACACAAAGUUCAAUUCCCAGGGAAGAGAGGUGGAUCACAAGGAUCUCUUAAAUACCAAGUCUUUCCUUAGUCAGAAUAUUCCUUCUAACGUAAUUUAAUAGCACAAUUAAAUACUACUAUUAUACCCUCAAAUAUUGAAAGAAAAAUAGGACAAAAAGAACACAAGAGUUUUAACGAGGUUCGGUAAAUUAUACCUACGUCCUCGGGCACUAACACCAGAUGAUAACUUUACUAUCUCCAAAAUAUUACAAACAAAUAGAAUUCCUUAAGAAUUCUCAAAUGGGAGAAGAGAGAAAACUAAGAGAGAAAGAUUGGUUGGGAUGGUUGAAAUGAGAAAUGGUUAGGCCUAUUUAUAGUUGAAGUUCAGGGACUAACUUGCAAAUGACCUAAAAAAUUAGGGACCAAAAUUGCAAUUAUCCCUUUCAACUUUAAACAACUUGCCAACUAUUUUUUUUCUUUCGGUGCCAAUUGCACCUCCCACCAUUUUUGACUUUUCAACCCCUUUUUAAUUUAACUUAUCAACAAUCUCCACCUUGAAGAUUUGAUUAGGAUAAUCACAUCUUCACACACUUCCUUCAACUCCCCAAAUUUGAUAAAGCUAUCUUUUGUAGUGCCUCCAAAUGCGCUCUCGAGCGCCAUACACCUAAAGGUGCUCAAAUUCUCAGGAUGUUAAUCAAGUUCAAACAAUGAUUAAACUUGAUUGUUGUUACCACCUUGGUCAUCAUAUCUGCGGGAUUAUCUGUUGUCGGAAUCUUCUCAAGUAGAAUUUUUCCUUUUUCAAAGACUUCCCACACAAAGUGAUAUCUUACGUCGAUAUGCUUGGUUCUUGAAUGAUAGACUUGAUUUUUCGCUAAAUGAAUAGCGCUUUGACUGUCACAAUAUAGACUAAUGUGACUUUGAACAACUCCCAAGUCUUUCAAUAAUCCAUUAAGCCAAAUAGCCUCCUUAACAGCUUCUGUAACUGCCAUAUAUUCUGCCUCUGUAGUAGACACAGCUACUGUAGACUGUAAGGUAGACUUCCAACUCACUGGGGCUUUCGCAAGAGUAAACAGAUACCCCGUAGUUGAACGACGUUUAUCUAAAUCACCAGCAAAGUCGAAAUCAACAUAUCCAACUACAAACUGACCAAGUGCUUUAUCUUGUUCAAAAAUUAAACCAACAUCUACGGUUUUUCGAAGAUACCGUAGAAUCUAUUUCACAGCUUGCCAAUGUCCUUUUCCAGGAUCAUGCAUAUACCUGCUCACAACUCCAACAGCUUGUGAAAUGUCAGGCCUCGUACACACCAUCGCAUACAUCAAACUCCCAACUGCAUUAGCAUAUGGGACUUUCGCCAUAUAUUCUCUUUCAUCUUCAGUCUUCGGAGAUAAUUGAGCACUAAGUUUCAAAUGAGAAGCAAGUGGGGUACUUACAUGUUUUGUGUUUUCAUUUACACCAAAACAUUGUAAUACCUUUUUCAGAUAUUGCUUCUGAUUUAAACAGAGCUUGCCUCUCGGUCUAUCUCUACUUAUCUCCAUGCCGAGAAUCUUCUUGGCCUCACCUAGAUCUUUCAUCUCGAACUCUUGAUUCAACUGAGCCUUCAGCUUAUCUAUCUCAUUUUGGCUCUUCGAAGCGAUUAACAUAUCAUCAACAUACAAGAGUAGAUAAAUGAAAGAUCCGCCAUGCAGCUUCUGCAAAUACACACAAUUGUCAUAUUUGCUUCUUGUGUACUCCUGCCUUCUCAUAAAGCUAUCAAAUCGCUUGUACCACUGCCUCGGGGAUUGCUUCAAUCCAUAUAGCGAUUUGUUAAGCUUACAAACCCAAUUUCUACCACCAGCAUCUGUGUAUCCUUCUGGCUGAGUCAUAUAGAUCUCCUCUUCUAACUCACCAUGCAAGAAAGCCGUCUUAACAUCAAGUUGAGCUAGCUCCAAAUUCAACUGUGCUACCAAGGCCAACAAAAUUCUAAUGGAGGAAUGCUUCACAACAGGGGAAAAUACAUCAUUGUAGUCAAUUCCCUCCUUCUGAGCGUAGCCUUUAGCUACCAAUCUUGCCUUGUAGCGAAUAUCCUUCUUGCUAGGAGAUCCAUCUUUCUUUGCGAAUACCCACUUGUAUCCGAUUGCCCUUUUACCUUUCGGUAAUUGCGCCAACUCCCAAGUAUUAUUCUUCCGGAGAGACUGCAUUUCUUCAUCCAUGGCGCUUUUCCAUUUAUCACUUUCUAAGCUUUGCAUUGCUUCUUGAUAAGUGAUAGGAAUAUCAUCAACAACGGGAAGGGCGUAGGCCACCAUAUCAGUAAAUCGAGCAGGUUUACGAAUUUCUCUCCGUGGCCUUGCAACUGCAACUGGUUCUGGUGUACUUAGUGGUUCUUGGGUCAGAACCUCUUCAACCUCUAAUUCCUCCAUUGUGGCUGGAGAAUUAGACUUAUUAACUGGGCAAAUCCCCAUCUGCUCAAACUCCACCUGUUUUGGAGUACACUCCACCUGCUGUGGAGUAUUGCUCGUCUGAAUAUCUUUAUCUGCUACCUUUUUCAAUGUGGCAGAUUCAUCAAAGGUAACAUCUCUGCUACAGAUCAUUUUCUUUGUGCUUAAGCACCAAAGACGAAAUCCCUUCACUCCAGAAGUGAUUCCCAUAAAGAGAGCUUUCUUUGCCCUCGGAUCUAACUUUGACUCCUUCACAUGGUAAUAUGCAGUGGUUCCAAACACAUGUAAGGAAUCAUAAUCUGUAGCCGGUUUUCCAGACCAUACCUCCAUAGGAGUUUUUCUUUCUAAUGCAGAUGAUGGCAAACGAUUAACAAGAUGGCCAGCGUAUGUCACAGCCUCAGCCCAAAAUUGCUUGCCCAACCCAGCAUUGGACAACAUACAUCGAACUUUCUCCAGCAAUGUUCGAUUCAUACGCUCUGCCAAUCCAUUCUGCUGUGGUGUAUCCCUAACUGUGAAGUGUCGAAUAAUACCAUACUCUUGGCACACAUCGAAGAACGGAUCACUUUUAUAUUCCCCUCCAUUGUCCGUCCUAAGCCGCUUGAUUUUCUUGCCAGUCUGGUUUUCGAUCAUAGUUUUCCAUUUAAGAAAAACUCCAAGCACUUCAUCUUUAGUUUUCAUGGUAUACACCCAAACUCUUCUGGAAAAGUCAUCAACAAAAGUAACAAAGUAGUGUUUUCCUCCCAAUGAAGGUGUUUUGGAAGGCCCCCACACAUCUGAGUGAAUAUAUUCCAAAAUACCUUUUGUAUUAUGGAUAGCAGUGCCGAAUUUCACUCUCUUUUGCUUUCCCAGAACACAGUGCUCACAAAAUUUUAAUUUGUAAGCCUUUGCACCUUUCAACAAUCCUUGCUUUGCCAGAAUUUGCAAGGAUUUUUCGCUGGCAUGUCCCAACUUCAUAUGCCACAACUGCAUUGAGUCCAAGUCUUUGUUACCGGAAGCUGCAGCGACUGCUCCAAUAACUGUACUACCUUGGUAGUAAUACAAGUUAUUUUUCCUGAUGCCCUUCAAUAUCACAAGUGCGCCAGAUGUCACUUUCAAAACCCCAUCUCUCAUAGUAACAACUGAACCAUUGGAUUCCAAGGCUCCCAAUGAGAUGAGAUUUUUCUUCAAACUGGGCACGUACCGAACAUCAGUCAGAACUCUGGUUGAUCCAUCUUUAUUCUUUAAUUGGAUUGAACCUAUCCCAACAGUUUUACAGGCAUUGUCAUUGCCCAUAUAAACAACUCCUCCAUUUAGUUCUACUAAAUCAGAGAACCACUCCCGGUUAGGGGACAUAUGAUAGGUACAACCCGAAUCUAAUAUCCACUCAUCUGAAUGGAACGACGAUGAUGAUGCAACCAGUGAUAGUUCAGAGUCACUAGUAUCAUGCUUAGCAACACAAGCAUCUACAGCAGCUUUUCCCUUAUUCUUCAGCUUUGGACAAUUUUUCUUCCAGUGGCCUUUCUCAUGACAAAAAGCACAUUCAUCUUUCCCGAGUCUGGACUUUGACUUUGAUCUCCCCUUUUGAGUUUUCUUCCGAGUGUAUGAACGACCUCGGACUAGUAAAGCUUCUGUAUCUCUGAUUGAGUUUUUCUGUUUGUCCUUCUUUCUCUGUUCAUAACUGUAUAAGGCCGCACAGACUUCGCUCAGAGAUAUAUCACUCCUGCCAUGAAGUAGAGUAGUUUCUAGGAACUCAAACUCCUCAGGAAGUGACCCCAACAGCAUCAAAGCCAAAUCUUCAUCUUUGAAUGUCUCAUCCAUAUUCAGCAAAUCAGUGACUAACUGAUUAAAUUUGGUGAUGUGAUCAUUCAUUGUGGUACUUGGGACGUAUGUGAAGCAAAACAGUCUUUUCUUCAAGUGGAGCUUAUUUUGACUGUUUUUCUUCAAAAAUUUUUCUUCAAGUGCCACCCACAACUUAUUUGCAGAAGUCUCCUUUGAAAAAGCAUACCUCUGCUCUCGAGAAAGGCAUGAUCGAAUUGUGCCACAUGCCAACCGAUUGAUCGCCUUCCAAUCUUUCUCCUGUACAUCAUCUGGUUUCUCUUCAUCAAUGGCAAUGUCUAGACCCUGCUGAAAAAGGGCAUCUAGAACCUCACUUUGCCACAUACCAAAAUGGCCCGUGCCAUCAAAGAUCUCCACGGCCAAUCUUGCAUUUGCAAUUGUCGGUCUUGUCCACAUGGACGAUGUUGAAGCUCCUACACCGACCGUUUUCUCCAUAAUCUUUCAAUAUACCUAAGGAAAUCUUUUCUGAUGUGGAAGAUCAGUUUAAACUGCAACCACAGAGCAUACUACGAUUAACCUUCGGCUCUGAUACCACUUGUUGUUCCAAUAGGGUCGGAAGCGUGUAAAUUAUUGUACUAAAAAAUCACACAAAGUUCAAUUCCCAGGGAAGAGAGGUGGAUCACAAGGAUCUCUUAAAUACCAAGUCUUUCCUUAGUCAGAAUAUUCCUUCUAACGUAAUUUAAUAGCACAAUUAAAUACUACUAUUAUACCCUCAAAUAUUGAAAGAAAAAUAGGACAAAAAGAACACAAGAGUUUUAACGAGGUUCGGUAAAUUAUACCUACGUCCUCGGGCACUAACACCAGAUGAUAACUUUACUAUCUCCAAAAUAUUACAAACAAAUAGAAUUCCUUAAGAAUUCUCAAAUGGGAGAAGAGAGAAAACUAAGAGAGAAAGAUUGGUUGGGAUGGUUGAAAUGAGAAAUGGUUAGGCCUAUUUAUAGUUGAAGUUCAGGGACUAACUUGCAAAUGGCCUAAAAAAUUAGGGACCAAAAUUGCAAUUAUCCCUUUCAACUUUAAACAACUUGCCAACUAUUUUUUUUCUUUCGGUGCCAAUUGCACCUCCCACCAUUUUUGACUUUUCAACCCCUUUUUAAUUUAACUUAUCAACAUCGCUCUUAUAAAAUUAGCCAUAAAAAUUGUCGAACACAUUGCGAACCACCAUAGGACCAAGAAAGUUCCCAUUUAUUGUCCGAACUAUUCCAGGAAUCAUGAGAUAAGAAAGUAUAGGCUAUUUUAACAGUUAAGUCUCCAUUCAUAGACCAUUUAGAUACUAAUGAAUUCGAUCCAGCAAGUGCACGAGGGGGUAGAACACCAGCUUUUUUGUCAAAAAAAGGUUCGUCCAAAUGAUUUCUAAUAUACCUCCAAUUCCAUUCACCGUCAUUUCUAACCAAAUCUUAGAGGAUGGGAUUAUCAUCUCGAGCCAUAUUAUUCGGAUCAUGAAGUAUCAAAGGACCUACCUCAGGAAUCCAAUCAUCAACCCAAAAUUUGACUGAAUUCCCAUCUCCUAUGGACCAACAGAGGCUAUCUCGUAAGAGAGGUCAAACUUUUGCAAUGGACUUCCAUACAAAAGAGCUUAUGUUGCACGUAAUUACCAAUGGACAUACCUCCUGAAAUUUGUAUUUAUCUCUUAUCACUUGAACCCAUAAAGCAUUCUUGUUAGUACUGAAAUUAAAGCCCAACUUUAAGAGGAAAGACUCAUUUUACUGCCUUAAAUGUCAAAGACCCAGUCCUCCAUUAGCCCGAGGUUGGUAAUAGUUAUCCCAUUGCACUAAUGUUGGUUUAGAUCUUAAGGAAGAACUCCCCCAAAUAAAACUCAUUGAAAUACUAGGUAUCAAAGUUGUUUUGUAACAACCUAUUUUCAAUGGUACAAAAAAUGAUAGUUUUAAAAUUCCAUUUUCUGAGGACUAAGUCAGCAAAUAUUAUUUAAUAAUAUUUAUGAAUGGUUUAUAUUAUUAUAAUGGUUAUUAGUUCAGAAAUUUUAUUGAUUGAUUAGUAAUUAGUAUAGAGACUAAAUGUAAAAACUGUAAAAGUUGAAUUUAAGUGGAUUGUUUAAUUAGUUGAGUAUGAUUUAAUUAUUGGAGGAUUUGUUUGACAAUAAGCCAAUUUUGGACAUAAUGGCUUGCCAUGGAAUUAGUUUAGUUGAAAUUUUAUAUUGAUUUUUAGUUAAAAAACAUAAAAAUUAAAAGGUUUAAAAUAAUAAAACAUGGAAAGUGCCAUCAUCUUCCUCAUUUUUCUUAUUCUCCUACGAAAACAACAUUUUUGGAGCUAGGAGAGUUCAGCCAUUUCACAACCUUCCAUGUAGGUAUAUUUGAGCUUGGUUUUUUGUAAAUUUUAUAUUUUUGUAAUCGUUGUAACUUAAAUCUAGCUAUAUUGUACCUCCGUUUUUAAAACUGUUAAAGAUUUUAAAUGCCACCAUUAGAGAUAAUUGAAGCUUUUGGUUGUUAAAAUGGUGCUUUAAAAACUUAGGAAUGGAAAAAUGAUUAAAUUGUGAAGCUAAUUGUUAGUUUUGAGUUUAGGGACUAAAUUAUGAAUAAAUUGAAAUUGUUAUAUUUUUUUGUAAAUUGUGGUAAUAGGAGGCUGUAUAGGGACAUAUUUGAAGUGGGUUUAAAUUUUGGAGUUUAAAUUCGGAAGAUAUGAUAAGUUUGGUUUUAGGGACUAAAUUGAUUAAAAUGAAAAACUUUAGGGGAAUUUGGAUAAUAAAAUUGAGCUGAUUUAUGCUUAUAAUAGGGUGAAAUAAGAGGAUUGAAAUUGAUAAAUUGAAUUGAACAAUUGUAUAGCUAAAAAAUUAGACCAAAUCAGAAGUAAUCGUGGAAAAAAAGGCAAAAUUAUUGAUUAGUCCUUAGAGACUUGACCGUUUUCUAUUUGUCCAGAUAAGUUCAUAUGGUAGGAUUAUACUUAAUUUUCUAUAUAUUUGAAUUAUGAUUUUGAGUAUCUUGAUAGUAAAUUAAAUUGUUUGCAAUUUGGUGCAAAGAGGUGAGGUAUGAACUAAAUCGUAAGGAAUUGAACAAUUAAUUGAAAAUUGAAAUAAUUAAGGAAAUAACCUUAAAUUGGACUGAAAUAGGAUAUAUUAUGUGAUAAAGUGAUUAUUUGAGGAAAUGAGCUAAAAUGAUUCGAUUUAGAUCGGUUGAAAGUGAUAAUGACGGAAUUGAAUAUAUGUGAAAAUAUUAUAUAAUUUUAUAAAUGUGAAAUUGAAUCAGUAUUGUUAUGUGUUAUGCUAUCAUAUUUGAGAAUUGAUGAUCGGUUAAUGAAAUUAUGUAAUGAAAUUGAGAAAUUGUUAUUCUUAUUAAUUGUUUGGGUAGAGUCAGAUAUAGUUGGAGUGUCGAUGAGGCACUGGGUGCCAAACUACUUCAGUUAUACCGAUGAGGCACUGGGUGUCAAACACAUUGAUGAGCACUGGGUACAAACUAUUUACUUUGACAUUGUCUGAUAAGGCACUAGGUGUCAAAUUGGUAUGAUAGGUGGGAUUCAUAUAUCCGUUCAAGUCUGAGUUAGAUUAAUAGGGGUAUAAAAAGAAAUUUUGAUAAAUGAUAUUUAAAUUGGGUUGAUAUAAUGAUUUGAUGAUUUGUAUACAUAAUGCGAUCUAUAAAUAUCGAUGGUAUGUGAAAAAUUAUACGAAACAGUUAUAUAAACCUAGAAGGCCGAUAUAGAAAUGUAAUAAAUCAAAGAAUUCGGUUCGAAAUUCAAAAUAAGGAAAUGAAAUGGUAAUUGACAUUAGAUUGAAAUUGAAUGUAUAAUAGAUAAAUAGAUGGAAUGAUCUGAUAUUAUAAGAAUGAUGUUCAUAUGGUUAAAUGUUGAUUUGGUUUUUAGUAUGGUAUUGAAAUGUGAUUCUAAGUGAUUUGGUUUAUUUCAUAUUGAAAUGUUAUAUGAUGAGGUUAAAUGUUAACUCACCUUUUUUAUUUUUGAUUUGUCAUGUUACUAAGCAUUGUAUAUGUUUACCUCUUUUAUUUUCCCUUUCCUUGUAGAUUGUCAAUUUGUAGAACACAUCAAGCGAAUCAUCCAAAGCUCACAUUAUCCUGGUAUGUGUUCAGUAGUCUUUAGACCGCAUUAAGGCCCGAUUAUGUAAGGCAUGUACUUAGGACUCGUUUUGGUUUACUUGCAAAGUGAUAUGGCUUGAAAUCUAUGUUGAUAGAAUUAUGACAAAGAUAAUGCUUAAUGGAAAACAUAUGCAUUAGUAAAUGGAUUGAAUUGUGCAUUUGACAUUUGAAAUGGCAUUUGGGUAUGCGAUUACAUAGGUAAUAUAAUGUUAUGAAAUGGUUAAAAGGCUUGGCUGAUUAGGUUGAGUUUAUUUAAGCUAAUUUGAUAUGUUAUGAUGCCAAAUUGUGGAAAUAUUGAAUUAGUUUAUUUGAAAUGGUGAUAUAUGAUGUUUUGACAAUGGUAUGAAUUAUGUGUUUAUAAUAUGUUGUGAUGUUUUUAGUGGUUAAUGAGUAAGAGAUAACAUGAUAGGUUAUUAAAGAGUAUUGAAUGAUUUUGAUACCUUGUGUGAAAAUCAUGAUGGCAGUUACAUGAUGAUGAAUAAAUAGGUCUAGUAGGUGACUUAAUUUGAAGGAUGAGUAGUAAUGGAUUGUUAUAGUUGCAUGAUAAUUGAAUUUGCACUAGUAAAAUGGAAUAAGCCUAGAUUUUGUCUAGUUGAUUUGGUUAGUAUAUGUUUUAAUGUUAGAAUAGGGAAUGAGUUGGAUGUAAUGGACCAUGAUUGGAAUAGUGUAACAUUCAUUCACUUUUGGUUGAUGUUACGUCCAUGAUGUAGUACCCUUGAUGUUUGUGGUUAAAUUAGUAUAUUUAAUUUUAAUUUUUUAUGUUAUAUGACAGAUUUUGGAGUGCUUAUUGAUACUAGCAUAGGCAUUUUUAAAAGUGGUAUUUGACAAUUCUGUGCAAAAGUACUUAUACUCUGGUAUUAAUUAUCGAUACUUGAUCAUAUGAACAAUUUUCUUAAAACAAAUAGUUUUAUUAUUCGGUAUCAAUACCAAAUAAAGUAUCGACACCAAGCAAUUAAGUAUGGAUACUAACUCUAAUAUUUUGAAAAUUUACAAUUCAACCCUAUUCAUGCUCAAACUUUACAAUUAAACCAUUGUAUGUUCUAAUUAUGGGAAUUGGAACGCAUUCGUAUUUGUAAUUGUAUGUUUUGAAUUUUUAUACAAAUUAUUUAUCGACAGUUGCCUAUCAAUGAAUGUGACAUCACGUUAUUCGGAUUUGACAUAAUAGGGUGUUACAUGUUUGCAUAAAAUAAUUGGGGAUUGACAUAAGAAUAGAUUGUACCAAAGUAACACGACCCGCCAUCGAAAUAAGUUUAGCGUCCCAACUAUCAAGUAAUCUAUAGACCCUAUCAAGGACAAACUUAAAGGUACUAAUAGUGAUACACUGUGAAAGGCGAUAUUAGCAGGAGUAUUCUUUGAAAAGAAAAACAUUGGUCUUUUGGGCAUUAACUUUGUGAUCCGAGAAAAGUCAAAAAGUUCUAAAUUAUUUUAACAACUUUUACUUGUUCUAUAUCAGCUUCAAUAAACAGGAACAAACCAUCCGCCUCUAGGGCAUGCUUGCAAUAAAAAGAUUAGUUUCCAAACCCUCUCUCCAACCAAUUUAUGAAUAUAUUGUCCCAAUCUUUCCAUACAUAGAAUAAAUAAAUAUGGAGAUAAAUGGCACCCCUACCUAAUACCUCUCAAAGGUUGGAACUCAUCCGAUAAAACACCACUCCACAGAGUUUGCAUACAAUCUGAAGAAAUGCGUUCCAUAAUAAUUUGAGAUAUUCCAUGAGGAAUGAAACGUAGUUGGUGCUAGACCAAGAGUGUUAAAAUGCAUGACGAGAGAAUCCCGCAAUUUAAAAAUGUUUCAAGAGAUGGGUGGGCAUUGGGCUCCACCUCUUGGAUCAAACUUAAUAUAGAUGGUGGCAUGGUGCUUUAAAGACAUGGGUUGGUCUUGCUUCAGUAGGAGGUGUUGUAUGUAAUUGUAGAGGCGAAUGGAUGCUAGGAUAUUGCAUAAGCCUUGGGUAGUUUAAUGUCCUUGAUGUGGAGCUUUGAUGUCUUUUUGAUGGCUUACAGUUAAUGUGAGAAAGGGGUUCGAAAAUGUACUAGUUGAAUGUGGUAGCUUGGAAGCGAUCUCGGUUAUAUUGAGCAGUAAGUCUAAAUCUUGUGGAUCGACUCUAGUGUGACAAAUACGCAAAUUGGUGGAACAUUGGGUGGUACCACCAGAAAACUUGUGGUGCAAGAAACAAAAUAAAGUAAAAUAAGAGAUUUGAGAUGUGAAUUACUUUCUUUAAAGUUUAAUUUUACCUCUAGAAUACAAAAUUUAGGAGUAACAUAAUUUGAGUUUUUAUGUAGGCACAGGAUGAUUCCAAGAUAUAUUCUUUUUCAAGGGUAAAUUAUCCAGAUGGACAUCCAACUUUUCAAAUGCUUUCAUUUUAGUUACCUCCAUUACGACAAUCUUCCAUUUUGCGUCUGACAACACGUAAGAAAACAUAAACACAAUAUUAUUCAAAGCUCCAUUUUAUUCAUUUUUUUCAAUAUUCAUCACAUGUUUCUUUCAAAAAUAAUAAAAUAAUAAAAUAUUCGUUGACAUGUUGAUUUUUCAUACAUGUAGCUUACUGCAGCAUGUAAGAAAACAAAGAAACAAUGGAAGCCCCAACCAAUGAUCCAAGAACAGGCAAGGUAGCGGCAGCCACGCUGGAAUCCGGUCCUGAUGCUGGAGCGGAACCAGGAGAGGAGCUAGGACUAGAACCACCGGCUGAAGGGGCAGGAGAUGGUGCACCGGCAGCCAUGACGGCGCUCAUUGAGGCGGCAGCAACAAUGAUGGCGGUGGAGACCUUCUUCAUGUCCAUGGCGUAUAAAGUGAUUAUUAAACGCACCGGAAAUGAGAGGGACCCGCGUUUAAUUACCGGUGAAUGGGGAUCCGCCGAUGAUUGUUAUUAUUUGCUUUGUUAUUGCAGGUCUGAAAAACAAUGAUGGUGGGGAGGAUCUUUUAUAGGUGAAAAUUCAUGGCUAUUUUUAGUGACGAAGUUUAAAGGAAAAAUUACGUGUUUGGUUUUCACAUGGUUUGCGGGAUAGACAUGCAAAAUUUUGAAUUUUUUUUAACGAUUUUUAGGUAAGGGGAUUUUAAAAUUUAAGAUUGAAUGAUAAUUUAUUUCUAUUUAAUUUUUUUUUAAAUCGUAAAAUUUGAUUUGCACGGAUAUGAGAGAUGGAAUUAAGGUCUAUUAAUUCCAUAGAUUUUAUAUUUAUUAAUUUUGAAUGGAUUUUUUUAACUAAAAUUUAAAUGAUAGAAGUAAAGUGAGAUGAUUUAAUCAUUUAUAUGUAAAUAUUAUAUAACAAGAUGUACUAAAAAAAAUGUUAUAUACUAUCAUAAAUGUAGAGUUGUCCAUGGAUUGGACUAUUUGGCUCGGUCUAAAGGUUCGCCUAAAAAAUAGAAGAGUUUAGACAACAAUAUAGACUCGAAAAAUAGACUUAGGCAACAAAUAUACAUGCGUCCUCCUAUAUUGAUAACAAUAUCUACACUAAUUCAACUAAAACUCAAUCAGCUAAUUCCAUCGAUUUUAUAUUUAUUAAUUUUGAAUGGAUUAAUGGUAAAGUAAAGCGACGCGAUUCUAAUCACUUAUAUGUAAAUAUUAUAUAAUAAGAUGUACUAAAAAAUAUUAUAUACUGUGAUAAAUGGUCGGAUGGUAAGUUUUUAUUUUGAUGAAUAAAAGACUAUAACGGUAAAAUUAUUAGUUAAGCUCCUGUAUUAAUUAGGAGAAGGUUGCAAUUUGGAAAUUUUUUUGAAAAAAAUGAGUAAAUUGGUCUUUAUAUAUUUUGAAAUAUACAAAUUAACUCUUCUGUUAAAUUUUAUCUAUUAAAUGAUGACAUGAAACGUUAAAUCUAUAUGUUGAAAAUUAUUUUUUUAUGGGUAUAUAAAAAUAGUCACCCAACUAUAUCUUUUAUUCUAUUUUAAUUGUCCGACUAAGGAUUCAUUUUGAUUUAAGUUUACCUUCAAUCUGACAUGAUUUGGACACUCUAUUGCCCAAUCAUGCCGCAAUAGAUCACUUGGAUGUAUAAUGGGAUUCAAUUUCAUCGCACUGAGGUCUUGCUUUUUCAUUGGAGGAUUACAACUCCAUUGACUUUCUUCUUCUUUUUUUGUAUCUAGACUUGAUCAUGAGACAGGCCAUCUCAGUUCAACCCAAAAGUCCAUCCAAAAAGUGAGUGGGUUUGAACUAAAAUAUAAGCUCAAAAACUAGAAUUGGGCUAGAAAACAAAAUUUAUUUUCUAAAUAGAUCGAGCUUCGAGUAAGCUUUGUCAUAGUUUCUAUCCUUACCCUCGUUAGUGGCAGGGAAAGGGACUGAGAAGGGCUUUGCAACCGCUUUACACCCUCUCCUAAAACGGGUUGAGACUCUCCAAAAUUCAUAAAAGCAUAAGUUAAAUAUAUAAUAAAUUUAUAAUUUAACCUAAAAAUUAUUAAAAUUUUAAUUUAAUCGUUUUAAAUGCCAUAAAAUAUAAUUAAAACCUAUUUUAACACUCAUAAAAAAUUAUUUUAAUCUCGAUUUCUAUAAAAGAUUUUCCAACUUCACCCCACAUUUAUCUAAUUACAUACUAGUUAGUUCAAUAAUUCAUUGGUAUUUUCAUGUUAUUCAUUGUUUUGAAUAAAUCGAAAAGUAAAAGCAUAAACACAACAUCCUUUCCAAAGCUCCAUUUCAAUUUUUUCAUUAUUCAUCACAUGUUUCUUACAAAAAACAUAAAAAUGAAAUAAAAUAUUCGUUCACAUGUUGAUUUUUCAUACAUGUAGCAUGUAAGAAAACAAAGUAACAAUGGAAGCCCCAACCAAUGAUCCAAGAACUGGCAAGGUUGCGGCAGCCACGCUGGAAUCUGGUCCUGAUGCUGUGGCGGAACCAGGAGAGGAGCUAGGAAUAGAACCACCGGCGGAAGGGGAAGGAGCAGGUGAACCGGCAGCCAUGACGGCGCUCAUUGAGGCGGCAGCAACAAUGAUGGCGGUGGAGACCUUCUUCAUGUCCAUGGCGUAUAAAGGGAUUAUUAAACGCACCGAAAAUAAAUGAGACCUGCGUUUAAUUACUGGUGAAUGGCUAUCGCCGGUGAUUG
rnacentral:lncRNA from 1 species